GAGAUCGUACUUCUAGGGAUCAGUCCUAUAGUACGUAUCACCAGGACGUCAAACAAACUUGACCCUGGCCAACCAACCGCGAUGAUGAUCAGUGCGGCCUAUUUCUGAGCGUGAAGCGGGUGUGUGGCUGUCCGUCUGGCUGGCUUCUCACGAAGUCUAUUCCAGGGCUUUUAGGCAUCUUGACGCU
rnacentral:snoRNA from 1 species